AAUAUUGGACAAUGGGGGCAACCCUGAUCCAGCCAUGCCGCGUGAGUGAAGAAGUAUUUCGGUAUGUAAAGCUCUAUCAGCAGGGAAGAAAAUGACGGUACCUGACUAAGAAGCCCCGGCUAACUACGUGCCAGCAGCCGCGGUAAUACAGAGGGUGCAAGCGUUAAUCGGAAUUACUGGGCGUAAAGCGCGCGCAGGUGGCUUGUUAAGUCAGGUGUCAAAAUGCGGGGCUCAACCCCGUACCGCACUUGAAACUGGCAGGCUUGAGUGCAGGAGAGGGAAGUGGAAUUCCUAGUGUAGCGGUGAAAUGCGUAGAUAUUAGGAGGAACACCAGUGGCGAAGGCGACUUCCUGGACUGUAACUGACACUGAGGCGCGAAAGCUAGGGGAGCAAAC
rnacentral:rRNA from 1 species